UACAUGGGGUGCAAACGUUGUUCGGAAUUAUUGGGCGUAAAGCGCGCGUAGUCGGCUUUGCAAGUCGGUUGUGAAAUCCCCGGGCUCAACCUGGGAACUGCAUCCGAGACUGCAUUGCUAGAGUAUGGGAGAGGAAAGCGGAAUUUCUGGUGUAGCAGUGAAAUGCGUAGAUAUCAGAAGGAACAUCAGUGGCGAAGGCGGCUUUCUGGACCAAUACUGACGAUCAGGUGCGAAAGCGUGGGGAGCAAACAGG
rnacentral:rRNA from 1 species